rnacentral:rRNA from 1 species
AUUGAACGCUGGCGGCAGGCCUAACACAUGCAAGUCGAGCGGAUGAAGGAAGCUUGCUUCCCGAUUUAGCGGCGGACGGGUGAGUAAUGCCUAGGAAUCUGCCUAUUAGUGGGGGAUAACGUUCCGAAAGGAACGCUAAUACCGCAUACGUCCUACGGGAGAAAGUGGGGGAUCUUCGGACCUCACGCUAAUAGAUGAGACUAGGUCGGAUUAGCUAGUUGGUGGGGUAACGGCUCACCAAGGCGACGAUCCGUAGCUGGUCUGAGAGGAUGGUCAGCCACACUGGAACUGAGACGCGGUGCAGACUCCUACGGGAGGGAGGAGUGGGGGAGAUUAGACGAUGGGCGAAAGCCUGAUCCAGCCAUGCCGCGUGUGUGAAGAAGGUCUUCGGAUUGUAAAGGACUUUAAGUUGGGAGGAAGGGUUGUAAGCUAAUAUCUUGCAGCUUUGACGUUACCAACAGAAUAAGGACCGGCUAACUCUGUGCCAGCAGCCGCGGUAAAAC